GCCCCUAUAGCUCAAUGGUAGAGCGUCAGUCUUUUAAACUAAAGGCCUGUAGAUCAAUCCUGCAUGGGGGCA
rnacentral:tRNA from 1 species